rnacentral:sRNA from 12 species
GCCGUAAUUAAAAAUAACAGAUACCCUAGUGAAGAAGGGCUGUCACCCUGCUAGGACAUUCUUAGAGCAGUCUGUAUUAAGAAGGAUACCUUUUAAUAUAGGGCUUAAGUGACAUUAUAAUUAGUAAGUUUUACUUAUUAAAAAGAUGAAGCUUAAAGGUUACGGAAAGUACCAAUAGUUAGGAAUGGUGUAUCUAUACAGUUUAAUAUAAUGCCGCAACAGUGUGGGGAGAGUAAUAGACGCUUGAGAAGAGAAGAACCUUAAGUCUUAGUCCUGUGGUGGGAUUGAGCAGCUUAAGGAAUACCAACCAAUCUCCUUUGCUAUGAUGUUGUAGAAAUACAACUAUAACACACAGCAGCGGACAAGUAGCCCAUAGGCGUGAAAUGAUGAAACAGUAUGUUUAAAAUUGUUUAAAAUUCUGAAUGAUGGGUGAAAGUUGCAGGUAGAAAGUCCUGUCAUAGCAUUGGGGAGAAAUCCUGUGGUAAGAAGUUUAGAGGUCGCUCCUUUAAGCUCAGACUUAUCAUCUAUGUAGCAUAAUAAUAGCGAACUGUAUAGGAUAAGAUGAAGGUCUAUCUGUUUUAUUUUAU